AAAUUGAAGAGUUUGAUCAUGGCUCAGAUUGAACGCUGGCGGCAGGCCUAACACAUGCAAGUCGAACGGUAACAGGAAGCAGCUUGCUGCUUCGCUGACGAGUGGCGGACGGGUGAGUAAUGUCUGGGAAACUGCCUGAUGGAGGGGGAUAACUACUGGAAACGGUAGCUAAUACCGCAUAAUGUCGCAAGACCAAAGAGGGGGACCUUCGGGCCUCUUGCCAUCGGAUGUGCCCAGAUGGGAUUAGCUUGUUGGUGGGGUAACGGCUCACCAAGGCGACGAUCCCUAGCUGGUCUGAGAGGAUGACCAGCCACACUGGAACUGAGACACGGUCCAGACUCCUACGGGAGGCAGCAGUGGGGAAUAUUGCACAAUGGGCGCAAGCCUGAUGCAGCCAUG
rnacentral:rRNA from 2 species